CUAUGCGCCUUGCCAGCCCGCUCAGGUGUGCCAGCAGCCGCGGUAAUACGUAGGGGCAAGCGUUAUCCGGAUUUACUGGGUGUAAAGGGAGCGUAGACGGCAGGGCAAGUCUGGAGUGAAAGGCGGGGGCUCAACCCCCGGACUGCUCUGGAAACUGCCAGGCUGGAGUGCAGGAGAGGUAAGUGGAAUUCCUAGUGUAGCGGUGAAAUGCGUAGAUAUUAGGAGGAACACCAGUGGCGAAGGCGGCUUACUGGACUGUAACUGACGUUGAGGCUCGAAAGCGUGGGGAGCAAACAGG
rnacentral:rRNA from 1 species